rnacentral:lncRNA from 1 species
ACCCGCCAGCCCCGCGCUCUACCAGGCAGAGCGCGUGUGGCCGCCGAGCACAUGGACCCACUGGUCAAGCGGGCUCGGCAAGGCCAGGAUGAAGAGAAGCUACGAACUUAGCAUUCCCAGAGCCCCCCGAGUGGAUAUCCGCGUGGAAAGGAUGUUGGCAGCCCCGGUGACCUCGGAGUCACGGCUGGAUCCACCCUCUUGGGCUGGGACACUGCCUGAUUGAGGUGGCCAUUGAGAAUUCAAGUGUACCUCUUGGUCCCUGAUGCAGAAAUGAAGUCCCCAGCAUGCUCAAGAAGAGCUUCCUUGGAGGAUGAGAGGCAUGGGAAUCUAAGUAUACCCUUUAAGCGUUCCAGAAGGAUUUUGAGAUCCUUUCCUAAAUCAAAGGUGGAAUAUUUGGGGAUUUGGAAAAUUGAGCAUUUUUUUCCCCACUUGCUUGACUGUAAUGCUAACAUGCUCUCUCUGCUCCAACCUGGAGAAGCCAGUCUCUCAGAAGAACCAGUUGUGUUACUUUGCUGUGAGAUGCCUGCCCUAAGAGAGGAGCAGAAGGUCGGAACGGGUCCUCUAAUGUGAUAAUUAGAUGUGAAGCGUUGACUUAAGAGAUGCCAAGUAACUCAGCAGAUGUCACACAGACGAUAAAUAGCAAAGAUGGAAGUCUUCAUGCCGGAGGCAAUCCUAUAAGACAGCUGAGUUCUGCAGAGCUGGUAGGAGACAGACUUGCUCAGGUGAUAGAUCCAGCCAUGAUACUGACCCUAAGAGAAUGAGACGCUCUGCAGAAGACAGAAGAUUCCUGAAACUGGGAAAGGUGCCUAGAAAUCCUGAUAAGAGUGAAGAAGGGUACCUGGAGGCACAGCAGCCAUGUUGAACCUAUGAGGUGAUGAAAAACCAUGCAACUAGAAACCAGAAUGGAAGAAAAGAAGAAGCUGGAUCCUUGACUGAAUUGUCGAUGGGGGAUAGUCCAUCAUCCCAGGGCUAAGACCACCUCCAGAUUUCUUGUUUGGUGAAACAAGUCCUGAUUGUUUACAUUCCCUCGUGUUGAGCUGUCUCUUGCUUGUAGCUGAAAGCAUUUCUAAUAGAUAUUCAGAUUAUCAGCCUUAGCUCCAAGCUAGAAUACUCUAUGGGACCUUAGCUUCUCCAUGAAUUCCUUUGCUCAUCUGUGUAAUGCUCAAUAAAUGUAAAUUGAACCCUGAAUGAGGGACAAUGA